rnacentral:rRNA from 1 species
ACGCUCGACACCUACUGGAGGCAGCAGUUGGGAAUAUUGGACAAUGGAGGAAACUCUGAUCCAGUGACGCCGCGUGAAGGAAGAAGGUCUUCGGAUUGUAAACUUAUUUUGUCAGGGAAGAAAAAAUGACUGUACCUGAAGAAAAGCACCGGCUAACUACGUGCCAGCAGCCGCGGUAAUCUGAGCGGGCUGGCAAGGC